GGCAAAGAUUCAGGCUUAUGAGUGAAGGCAUGGCUUACCCUUUUGUUACACAUAGUUUGUCCAGUUCAGGGCUGCCUGAUCUGGCUUUGUAGAACCACAGAACAUGUUUGGACACAUCUGU